rnacentral:rRNA from 1 species
GGCAUGCUUAACAUGCAGUCGAACGGCAGCACGGGAGCAAUCCUGGUGGCGAGUGGCGAACGGGUGAGUAAUAUAUCGGAACGUGCCCAGUCGUGGGGGAUAACGUAGAGAAAUUUACGCUAAUACCGCAUACGAUCUAAGGAUGAAAGCGGGGGACUGUAAGGCCUCGCGCGAUUGGAGCGGCUGAUAUCAGAUUAGCUUGUUGGUGAGGUAAAAGCUCACCAAGGCGACGAUCUGUAGCUGGUUUGAGAGAACGACCAGCCACACUGGGACUGAGACACGGCCCAGACUCCUACGGGAGGCAGCAGUGGGGAAUUUUGGACAAUGGGCGAAAGCCUGAUCCAGCAAUGCCGCGUGCAGGAAGAAGGCCUUCGGGUUGUAAACUGCUUUUGUACGGAACGAAAAGGUCUGCCCUAAUACGGCGGGCCCAUGACGGUACCGUAAGAAUAAGCACCGGCUAACUACGUGCCAGCAGCCGCGGUAAUACGUAGGGUGCGAGCGUUAAUCGGAAUUACUGGGCGUAAAGCGUGCGCAGGCGGUGAUGUAAGACAGUUGUGAAAUCCCCGGGCUCAACCUGGGAAUUGCAUCUGUGACUGCAUCGCUAGAGUACGGUAGAGGGGGAUGGAA